UGUGUGUUACAUUUUAACGUUGUGUUUCUUUUGUGUCGUUUGUUUCCUCUUAUAAUCAAGUGUUAAUUCACAUUAUUAUAAGACGUGUCACGGUACUUUUCUAUCCCAAAUUUAUGUAUUUAGUUUUGAUGUUAUAUUUGUUAUUCUGACCAGAUUUUGUCUAAUGCUUAGUUCGUUUCUGUGUGUGUUACAUUUUAAUGCUGUUUCGUCAUUCUCCUAUCAUAUUUAAUGCGUUUCCCUCGGUUUUGGUUUGUGACCCGGAUUUUUUUUUCUUUUCUAUCGGUUUAUGAGUUUUGAACAUCGGUAUACUACUGUUGCCUGUAAUUAACGGUUUAUUUUCGAAUUUUUUAUAAUUUUGAUAAUCGUUUUAGGAUGUUAUAAAUCAAAUUUGAGAAUUUAAGUCAAAUCGAUAAACAUAAAUUUGAC
rnacentral:lncRNA from 1 species